rnacentral:lncRNA from 1 species
GAGAUGAUGGGGGUGAGGACAUCAUUCAGUGCCAGUUUUCCUGGCAUCGCAAUGCAUUUCUCCAGAUCCCACUGGGACAAGAAAAAAGGAAACAGAUUCUUGGGCUUCGUCUCCGGCCCCGUGCCACCCGAAUAAGGGGCCUUCUGUGCCCAGGGCGACCCUGGGCGGAGCGGGCUCGUCUCCCCCCACACACGCAGGUUUCAGACGUCUCCAGUCCAAGCAGCUAAAUCCGAGCGAAAACACAGCACCCGAAACAAAGGUCAAAAACCAAGAUCCCGCAGCUUGCCAGAAGGAAGGAGUGGAAAGAGGGCAUUGUCAGAAAAUACCAGGAGCUGCAAAAAAUAAAUAAAUAAAGGCAUUUUGCGGAGGCUGAAGAGAGGGAAUUAACAUUCUGCUUCUGAGCGCUGGUUCCAGUCUGGUGUUUCCAUCAGUAAGAGUCCAGUGCAGAUGGGAGGCAUUUGGCUCUGGCCGUGUCAACAUUCACCCACGGUGGGGGGCUACUGGCCCCAGCCCUCUCUCCAGCCCUCUCUCCUGCUCACGGAAGCACAACCUCAGCCACAGCCACGGGUCUGCUUCCGGCUGUGUCCACACCUCAGAGCCAGGCAGAGAGCAGAGACCACGGCACGGACUUCUGGGAAGAAGAAAAGUGGCUGGGCUUUUAUCAUUUGGUGAAGACAUCUGGGAGACUGAUUAUUUAUACGGAUUCUUAUCUUUGCUUGGUAGAAAGAGAGGGGCUGGUAUGCAGCUGCUUCAGUUGAUGGUUGUUCCUCAAGCUUGUUAGCUCAUUAGAUUUAUCUUUGCUUCUGUCAGAAGAGGCCUCAUGAUCCCUGAGGAGAGGAAGGCUCGAGUCUGAGGCUGGGGUUCAGUCACUGCCAGUGUCAUGUGCACGAGGAAGCAGCAGGCAGUGUGAGCAGCACCUGAGGCAUGGCCUCUCUGAGAGCAACGAAUUGGGUGCAGGGCGGGUGUCUCCUGCAGGCUCCCUAGAGAGGCCAGGCGGCGGGCUGAGAAGCGCUGCAUUCCUCCUGGACAUCUCCUACGCUGGUGGCAGGUGCUCUGAGCCCUCCUUCUGAUUCUUGUUUUGUAGCCACG